CAUCCUCAAUGUUGACUUUUGUGUGUAAAACAAUUCUUUCCUCUCAUCAAGGUUCUUCUUUUGGGGAUGGCAGGACUGAGCAGGAAGUCAGUAGGCACCAGGCUGUUCUUGGGGCACAGAAUGACUUCCUUACAUAACACUCUCCAGGUCCACACCCGCCCUGCUCAUACACAUAAACAGAUGGAAAAGAGGACAGAGCCUGGACUACGGGAAUAGGUUUACAGCACGUUCCUGGGGUCCGAGCUCUGGGAACCCCGAGGCUCUGAGACAGUAGCUGCCCCUCAGAGCUCCCAAGUAGAGAACUCCCCAGGUUUUCCCAAACUAACCUCGGUGCCCCCUGGCUGGAAAUCUUCCUUUAGGGCUCAAUGUCCUACUUCCCUCUUGCAGCCAAGCAGCUGUGAGGAGAGAAGAGGAGGAAGCGCCAGGGAGCCCAGAGCCACCAGACAGUGACGCCACAGAGCCACAGCCAUCACACCCGCACAGGAUUCCCGCAUCCUGUGCUAACACAUCCACAAAUGAGCUCAACUCACCCUGCAAAGAGGGAGAACCGCGCGAACACGGAAUGGAAGCCGAAGAUCUGGAGUGACCGCUGCCCUCUGGGAAGUGUCGCUCCAACCUGAACAUCUCUGGGCGCGGCGGCUCGUCCAAAAGGCCGCCGAAGCGCGGAAGUCCCGUUGGAACUGCAGCUCGAGAACCGCCCGGAGCCCGGCCCGAGCGCAGGUUGCUUAACGGUGAAUAAAGCAGGAAGGGUGAGGGAAACAGUAAACACCAUUGCUCUCAUUCAGAAUGAUGGCUCUGCA
rnacentral:lncRNA from 1 species